AGAGUUUGAUCAUGGCUCAGAACGUACGCUGGCGGCACGCCUAACACAUGCAAGUCGAACGAGUAGCAAUACUAGUGGCAGACGGGUGAGUAACAUGUAGGUAUCUGCCCUUUGGCCUGGAAUAACACGAGGAAACUUGUGCUAAUACCGGAUAAGUCUUUACGGAGAAAGCUUUAUGCACCAUUGGAUGAGCCUGCACUUGAUUAGUUUGUUGGUGGGGUAAUGGCCUACCAAGACUGUGAUCAAUAGCUGAUUUGAGAGGAUGAUCAGCCACAUUGGGACUGAGACACGGCCCAAACUCCUACGGGAGGCAGCAGUGGGGAAUCUUGCACAAUGGAGGAAACUCUGAUGCAGCGAUGCCGCGUGAGUGAAGAAGGCCUUUGGGUUGUAAAGCUCUUUCGUCGGGGAAGAAAAUGACUGUACCCGAAUAAGAAGGUCCGGCUAACUUCGUGCCAGCAGCCGCGGUAAUACGAAGGGACCUAGCGUAGUUCGGAAUUACUGGGCUUAAAGAGUUCGUAGGUGGUUGAAAAAGUUGGUGGUGAAAUCCCAGAGCUUAACUCUGGAACUGCCAUCAAAACUUUUCAGCUAGAGUAUGAUAGAGGAAAGCAGAAUUUCUAGUGUAGAGGUGAAAUUCGUAGAUAUUAGAAAGAAUACCAAUUGCGAAGGCAGCUUUCUGGAUCAUUACUGACACUGAGGAACGAAAGCAUGGGUAGCGAAGAGGAUUAGAUACCCUCGUAGUCCAUGCCGUAAACGAUGUGUGUUAGACGUUGGAAAUUUAUUUUCAGUGUCGCAGCGAAAGCGAUAAACACACCGCCUGGGGAGUACGACCGCAAGGUUAAAACUCAAAUGAAUUGACGGGGACCCGCACAAGUAGUGGAGCAUGUGGUUUAAUUCGAAGAUACGCGCAGAACCUUACCAACACUUGACAUGUUCGUCGCGACUCUAAGAGAUUAGAGUUUUCGGUUCGGCCGGACGAAACACAGGUGCUGCAUGGCUGUCGUCAGCUCGUGUCGUGAGAUGUUGGGUUAAGUCCCGCAACGAGCGCAACCCUCACUUUUAGUUGCCAUCAUUAAGUUGGGCACUCUGAAAGAACUGCCAGUGAUAAGCUGGAGGAAGGUGGGGAUGACGUCAAGUCCUCAUGGCCCUUACGUGUUGGGCUACACACGUGCUACAAUGGUAUCUACAACAGGAAGCAAAACCGCGAGGUUAAGCAAAUCCUUAAAAGAUACCUCAGUUCGGAUUGCACUCUGCAACUCGAGUGCAUGAAGCUGGAAUUACUAGUAAUCGUGGAUCAGCGUGCCACGGUGAAUGCGUUCCCGGGUCUUGUACACACCGC
rnacentral:rRNA from 1 species